CCCUUAGAUGUCCUGGGCCGCACGCGCGCUACACUGAGUGUCUGAGAUACGAGUCUGCCUGGUCCGGCAAGGUCUAGGUAAUCGCUAAAAGACACAUCAUGCUUGGGAUAGAUUAUUGCAAAUAUUAAUCUUGAACGAGGAAUUCCUAGUAAGCGCAAGUCAACAGCUUGCGUUGAUUACGUCCCUGCCCUUUGUACACACCGCCCGUCGCUCCUACCGAUUGAAUGGUCCGGUGAAGCGCUCGGACCGCGGCCUCUUGACGGUUCGCUGUCGAUUGGCUGUGGGAAGUUCGUUAAACCUUAUCAUUUAGAGGAAGGAGAAGUCGUAACA
rnacentral:rRNA from 1 species